rnacentral:tRNA from 1 species
GGCGGUGGCGGCCUGGCAGGCGCGGGGCAGGGCCCACCGACGAUGGGUGUGGGCGGCCCUGGCCGCCUCCGUCCUGGCGUUCCUCGUCACCGUCGUCU